GUCUGGGGCUCCUGCCCGCGCGGCAGGCUCCGCCCCCACUGGGCGCCUCGGGGCGGGUCUGCGCCUUGAGUGGUCGCCGGCCGCGGGCAGAGCGGCGCGGGGAGCGGUCCAUCUCUGCGCCUGAGAGGCGGCCUUGAUCGUCCCGUUCCGGCCUCCAGUGGACGGCGGCGCCGCGGGGGUCAGCAGGAGGCCUGUGGCAGAGCCCACGUCCGCCUGACUGCCCGUCCGUGUCCUUUCCUGUCUGGAAGCGCCUUCGCCUGCGGGGCUCUGAGCUUUAUUAUCACGUUCGCCGCCCGCCAUGUGAUCCUCACUGUACAGCCCACAGAGCAGCGACACAUCUGUCGCCUCACCUUCCCUGAAGCUCCAUGAGUGCGAAGAUCAGGGAUGGACGUGCCUGCGCCCAAGCCCAGCGCGCCGCUUACUGGGACCCAGCCAGGCCCGUUCCUUUGCGGGUGGUCCCUGCCUGCGUCCCCGGAAGGGCGGAGUUGCGUGGGUGGAACAGAGACAGUCUGGCCUGGGAAGCCUAAAAUAUGUACUGUCCGGCCCUCUACGAAAAAAGACUGCGGACUCUUGAAGUAGAUUAUCCCCAUUUUACAGAUGAGGAACCUGAGGCAUCUCGCUUGGGCACGGUGCCCAGCUCCUGUGUCCCCAGCUAGCCCUGGAACAAGAUGGGACGCCUCUCCCUGUGCAUUUCCCAUUACGGCUCCUGCUUAUUACAGAUUCUCCCCAGUGGGUCUGGCCAGUUCUCCCAAGUGGAUCUGGCCUCUGUGUCAGGCUUUCUCUUCGUUCCAGCCCCCAGGGGAGGAGAAAGUACGGCUCACCUCCUGAGUGGAAAGAGAGAGACUGAUGUGAUAAUCUGAGUCAGUGCAAGACCGGGGAGCUGGCAGCUCUUCAGAGACAGCCGUCUAACCCUGAGCUCCUCAUUCACGCAGCCAGCCCUGGAUUUCACCCAAGAUCCCUAAGACCCCGGAUUUAAUCUGGAGCCUGGUUAACUGAUCCCACAGGAAACUCCUAAACUUCAUGUGGUCUGUGAUUUCACCGACGGAACUUUUUCAUGAGAUUGGUCACAGAAGAC
rnacentral:lncRNA from 1 species